AUUAAACUUCUUUUCCUUCACAGUCUCGGGUAUGUCUUUAUCGGCAGCAUGAAAAUAGACUAAUACAGUAAAUUGGUACCAGUAUAGUGGAGCACUGCUGAAAAGAUACCUGAAAAUGUGGAAGCGACUUUGGAACUGCACGACAGGUAGAGAUUGGAACAGUUUGGAAGGCUCAGAAGAAGGCAGGAAAAUGUGGAAAAGUUUGGAACUUCCUAGAGACUUCUUGAGUAGCUUUGACAAAAGUGCUGAUAGUGAUAUAAACAAUAAGACUGAGGUGGUCUCAGAUGGAGAUGAGGAACUUAUUGGGAACUGAAACAAAAGUGACUCUUGUUAUGUUUUAGCAAAGAGACUGAAAGCAUUUUGUCCCUGCCCUAGAGAUUUGUGGAACUUUGAACUUGAGAGAGAUGGUUUAGGGUAUCUGGUGGAAGAAAUUUCUAAGCAGCAAAGCAGUCAAGAGGUGAUUUUAAAGCCACUCAGUUUUAUAAGGGAAGGAAAGCAUACAAGUUCAGAAAAUUGGCAGCCUGACAAUGAGAUAGAAAAGAAAAUCCUGUUUUCUGAGGAGAAAUACAAGCUGGCUGCAUAAAUUUGCAUAAGUAAUAAGGAGCCAAAUGUUAAUGGGGGAAAUGUCUCCAGGACAUGUCAGAGGUCUUCACAGCAGCCUUUCCCAUCACAGGCCUGGAGGCAUAGGAGGAAAAAGCAGUUUCAUGGGCAGGCCCUAGGGUCCCCAUGCUGUGUGGCGCCUAGGGAGUUGGUCCCCUGUGUCCCAGCCACUCCAGCCAUGGCUGAAAGAGGCCAAUGUAGAGCUUGGGCCAUGGCUUCAGAGGGUGCAGGCCCCAAGCUUUGGCAGCUUCCACAUGGUAUUGAGCGUGCGAGUGCACAGAAGUCAAGAAUUGAGGUUUGGGAACCUCCGCCUAGACUUCAGAGGAUGUAUGGAAAUGCCUGCAUGCCCAGGCAGAAGUUUGCUGCAGAGGUGGGGCCUCCAUGGAGACCCUCUGCCAGGGCAGUGCAGAAGGGAAAUGUGGGUCAGAGCCCCCACACAGAGUCCCUACUGGGGCAUGGCCUAGUGGAGCUGUGAGAAGAGGGCCACCAUCCUCCAGACCCCAGAAUGGUAGAUCCACUGACAGCUUGCACUGUUCACCUGGAAAAGUCAUAGACACUCAACUCCAGCCCAUGAAAGCAGCCAGGAGUGAGGCCAUGCCAUGCAAAGCCACAGGGAUGGAGUUGCCCAAAGCCAUGGGAACCCACCUCUUGCAUCUGUGUGACCCAGAUGUAAUACAUGGAGUCAAAGGAGAUCAUUUUGAAGCUUUAAGAUUUAAGUGCCCUGCUGGAUUUUGGACUUGCAUGGGGCCUGUAACCACUUUGUUUUGGCCAAUUUCUCCCAUUUGGAAUAGCUGCAUUUACCCAGUGCCUGUACCCCAUUGUAUCUAGGAAGUAACUAACUUGCUUUUGAUUUUACAGGCUUAUAGGCGGAAGGGACUUGCCUUGUGUCAGAUGAGACUUUGGACUGUGGACUUUUGAGUUAAUGCUGAAUUGCCAUCCAUGUAAGACAUGACUUGUUCCUCCUUGCCUUCCACCAUGAUUUUGAGGCCUCCCCAGCCACCUGGAACUCCCUACCCCAAAGUAAGCCCCCAUGUUUGUGACAAUGGUGGUUAUACAGAUUCCGAAAAACCUCAGAAAAAGCACUUAUCUGUAGCCAGAAGACCCAGGAAAGAGCCCUUUGACCACCCUGAAGGGCGUGGCAAAAAGUCAGGUUAUUCCUCUUUCGUCUUGCCACUGUGUGGCAAAUAAAGACUCAGUUACAGGAAAGGCACAACAGUGUGAGAAGACUAAAACUCAGGGAGAAACUGCAGCUUUCUAGCCAGAGAACUGGGAUAAGAGAUCCCUGGAAGCUGGGGAAAUCACAGAAGAGGUGAAGUGCUGAAGGAAUCACAGAAGAGGUGAAGAGCUGAAGAAGGAGAUUCUCUAAAUCUGUGUACCUCUAUAUGUACUGACAGAAGUCUUAGGCUCACCUGCAAGAUGAACAUGCUUAAGACAGGCCAAAAAGAGCAACAUGAAGGCUUUAGAACGGACCUAGAGUGUAGACUCCACAGAGGUCCCAGAUUGGCACCCAGUGGCACACACAUGGGAUAGGUACAAACAGCUGUAAAGUCUUUAAAAGCUGAACCACUGCCUACAGAAGGUAGUCAGAACAUGUAGUCUAAACCUCUCCGGGUUGAUUAUCUACUAAAACAACCAGAACAACAAAACAAACGAUUUCCAGGAGAUUUUUACAUGACCCCAAGGCUCAUAACAUAACGCUCCAAAUUUUCAGGAUAAAAUCCAAAAUUACUUGGCAUAUAAAGAACCAAGUAAAUCUAAAUGGAUCAUAAGAAAAAAGCAAUCAUGAAAUGCCAAUCCCAAGAUGCCAGAGGUUGGAAUGAUCAGACAAAUAUUUUAAUUCAGUUAUUAUAAUCAUCUUCAAGUAUAGUCAUCUCCUCUUGCUAAUGUGAUUGUUGUAAUAAACUGUCUUUCAUCUUUGACCUGGCGGCUUCAUGUUUUUCUGCCAGUAUCUAUGAAGCUGUGACAAACUUGUUAGUUUACAAGUAGAGUAAAAUCUCAGAUUCUUCACAAUUCCUGACAUGAGAGUUUAACAAACAUCAAAAAUGAAAGAAAGAAUAUCACGAUUCCUGACAUGAGAGUUUAACAAACAUCAAGAAUGAAAGAAAGAAUAUCACAAGUCCUAAAGACAUUUAAAAAAAUAACAAAAGAAUACUACAAAAAAUGAUAUGUCCAUUAAUUCAACAACAUACAUGAAAUGGACUAAUUCUUGUGUAUUUCACACAAAGAAGAUUCAGUACUGUAUAAAAAGGACAAUACACCUAGCCAAAUGUGGUUUGAGAAAUGUAAGACUGCUAUAAAAUUUGAAAAUCAAUCAAUGUAAUUCACCAUAUUAACAGAAUAAAGAAGAAAAUAUACAUGAUCUUUUCAGUAGAUGAAGAAAAAGUAUUUUACAAAAUUUUAUGAAAGAUUUUCAUCCAUCUAGAAGAGUAAAAGUUUGUCUUAAAGCAAAUGAAAAGAUUAAAGAAUAUACAAGGUCUCUUGUUAACCAAUAAUUAUGCAAAUUUAUUUGAUUAUAUAAACACUUUCACAGAACCAAGAACCAUGAGAUGACUAUUUUAGAUAAGAAAGCCUCUGGGCCAAAAGUAGGAACCCUUAGAAACCAUCAAAACCUUGAAAUCUGCUCUGAAUACACUCACAUUCCAUGGACACUGACAGCACAGGACAAUGAUCAGGAACACAGACUGAUGCCUAGCUGACUGAGGUCCAUCCUGGCUCCAAUAUCCGUCCAUCUGCCAACUUUGUAAUCUUGGGGAUACUCAAGUAACUUUUUGGUGCCUGUUUCUUUUUUUUUUUUCUUUUGUGUGUGUGUGUUUAUUUUUAGUGGAGACGGGGUUUCACCAUGGUGAUCAGGUUGGUCUCAAACUCCUGACUUCAACUUAUCCACCUGCCUUGACCUCCCAAACUGCUGGGAUUACGGGCAUAAGCCAUCACUCCUGGCCUAGUGCCUGUUUCUUAAUUUACAAAUGGAGAUAACAAUAGUGCCUAACUUAUAGGACUGUUGUGAGGAUUAAGGGAGUUAAAACAUAUAAAACCCUUAGAGCAGUUGCUCAGGAAGCCUUGAACUCUGCAGAAAACAAGGCAAAUGGAUAGCAUCGUUUAUUUAUUCUUGAGCCUGCUCCUUCCUUUUCCACUCCCUCUAAUCAUAGUGAACAUUUACUGACCUCUUAUAAUGUAACAAGUGCUAUACUAAAUGAUCUACAUUCAUUAUUCCAUUUAAUCCUUCCAAUAUCCCUGUAAAAUAAGUACAAUUAUUAUUUACAUUUUUCAAAUGAGAAUAUUGGAUUGAUUCACUUUAUAUAGAGACAGAAGUACAAAUACAAACAUACACACAAAUCACCAUUUAGGUUAUCAUCAUGUCUUACUUUCAUUUAUGAGUCUGUCUUCUUGGGUAAUCUUUUAUGUCUGGCUCAUCCAGUAUGUAUUAAUUUUAUAGUUUAAAUCUCUAAGAAAAAAAAUCUCAUUUCAUUAUGGAUGGCAAACUACUAUUUUGCUCACAUACCACCUACCUGAUUAUUGACUACUUUUUACUUUAAAUAUGUUAUUUUGUAACUUUUUCCAAGGGUGUAGCUAUUUUGGCCUAGCAAUGGGCAUACUGUGGUAUGUGUACAGAAACCUGAGUCAGCAGGGUGCUUACUGCACCCAGGAGUAGGCAUUUGUGGAGUCAGUGUGGGAACAUCUUUCAGUCAUCUCAUCAUGUGUUAAUAACAGAAACACAGUAUUAAUGAACAGAUCAAACUCUCCCUGAUGUUUGGAAGCAGACCUGACUCUUUUGGAAUGUUUUCUUAGAAAUAAGUUGAUCAAUUUUUUCUGUACUUUAUGCCAAUGGCUGUGUCAGCAUGGCUGAUUUGGAGGCUAAUUAUGUGAUUUUUAUAGCUAUUCUGGGAAAACAUGAACAUACUGGAAAUAGAAUGGGGGAGGAUAUGAGAGUGUUGACCUAAAAAUGGAGACAAACCAGACUGUUAAUGAUUUCCAUGCUGUUCAGCAGAAAUCAUCUCCCAUGGUCUCUGUUGAUAGUUUGAAUCUAGGGAUGACAGAUUUCCAAAAUAUGGUUACUUAAGAAGUGAUUAUAGGAAAUCAUCUCUUCCUGUCAUUAAAAGAAAAUAAAUCUGGGGCCGGGCACAGUGACUUACUCCUGUAAUCCCAGCAUUUUGGGAGGCCGAGGCGGGCGGAUCACAAGGUCAGGAGAUCGAGACCAUCCUGGCUAACCCAGUGAAACCCUGUCUCUACUAAAAAUACAAAAAAUUAGCCGGGCGUGGUGGUGGGCACCUGUAGUCCCUGCUACUCGGGAGGCUGAGGCAGGAGAACGGCAUGAACCCAGGAGGCAGAGUUUGCAGUGAGCUGAGAUCACGCCACUGCACUCCAGCCUGGGCAACAGAGCGAGACUCCAUCUCAAAAUAAAUAAAUAAAUAAAUAAAUAAAUAAAUAAAUAAAUAAAU